rnacentral:rRNA from 1 species
UGGAUCCAGACUUUGAUUCUGGCUCAGGACGAACGCUGGCGGCGUGCCUAAUACAUGCAAGUCGAACGAAGCUUUCUUUCACCGAAUGCUUGCAUUCACCGAAAGAAGCUUAGUGGCGAACGGGUGAGUAACACGUAGGCAACCUGCCCAAAAGAGGGGGAUAACACUUGGAAACAGGUGCUAAUACCGCAUAACCAUGAACACCGCAUGAUGUUCAUGUAAAAGACGGCUUUUGCUGUCACUUUUGGAUGGGCCUGCGGCGUAUUAACUUGUUGGUGGGGUAACGGCCUACCAAGGUGAUGAUACGUAGCCGAACUGAGAGGUUGAUCGGCCACAUUGGGACUGAGGCACGGCCCAAACUCCUACGGGAGGCAGCAGUAGGGAAUCUUCCACAAUGGACGAAAGUCUGAUGGAGCAAUGCCGCGUGAAUGAAGAAGGCCUUCGGGUCGUAAAAUUCUGUUGUCAGAGAAGAACGUGCGUGAGAGUAACUGUUCACGUAUUGACGGUAUCUGACCAGAAAGCCGCGGCUAACUACGUGCCAGCAGCCGCGGUAAUACGUAGGUGGCGAGCGUUGUCCGGAUUUAUUGGGCGUAAAGGGAACGCAGGCGGUCUUUUAAGUCUGAUGUGAAAGCCUUCGGCUUAACCGAAGCAGUGCAUUGGAAACUGGAAGACUUGAGUGCAGAAGAGGAGAGUGGAACUCCAUGUGUAGCGGUGAAAUGCGUAGAUAUAUGGAAGAACACCAGUGGCGAAAGCGGCUCUCUGGUCUGUAACUGACGCUGAGGUUCGAAAGCGUGGGUAGCAAACAGGAUUAGAUACCCUGGUAGUCCACGCCGUAAACGAUGAGUGCUAAGUGUUGGAGGGUUUCCGCCCUUCAGUGCUGCAGCUAACGCAUUAAGCACUCCGCCUGGGGAGUACGGUCGCAAGACUGCAACUCAAAUGAAUUGACGGA